GACACAGAACUGCAGGAGACCAUGAGUUUCAUCUCCAUCUUCAUCUGGGCACUGAUCUUCUGGGUUCAGGGAUCCAGUGGUCAGAUCACAGUGACUCAGAGUCCUCCGGUGAAAUCUGCUCGUCCAGGAGACACAGUCACUCUAAAAUGUAACCCCAGUACUUCGAGUGGUCUUGGUAGCAGCCUGUAUUGGUACCAGCAGAAAGAUGGAACAGCUCCUAAACUCCUGAUAUACAAAAUAAGCAGCCGUGAAUCUGGAAUCCCAGAGCGGUUCAGCGGCUCUGGAUCUGGGACCGACUUCAGUCUGACCAUCAGUGGAGUCCAGGCUGAGGAUGCAGCCACAUACUACUGUUUUGGUAAUUUUUAUGCUCCAAACCUCAUAUUCGGUGGCGGCACCAAACUCGAAGUUGGAGUCGAUCAACCCCCGACCCUCACUGUCCUGCCCCCUUCGAGUGAGGAGAUCUCCAAAGGAUCUAAUGCCAAGGUGACGUGCCUGGCCAACAACGGCUACCCCUCCGGCUGGACGCUGAGCUGGAAAGUGGACAACAAGAAUGCCGAGGCGUCAGCGGUAGCCAAUAGUGCAGGGCUUCUUCAGCAGGAUGGCAAGUACAGCUGGAGCAGCACCCUGACCCUUUCUACUACUGAAUGGAACAAGGGGGUGCCCGUCACCUGUGAGGCCACUUUCGGCUCCCAUACCCCCGUCAAAGGGAUGCUGAAGAGCUCCGACUGCUCGCUCUAACCUUAGCAGUGAACCUGAAAUGAAUCCCAAACGUCCCAAACUGUGACCACCCCCCCUCUCCCCAAGAGUGAGCAAGGAGCUACCAGCUAAGGUCCUCUGCUCUUUCCCCAUAAACAUGUCUCUGUGUCCUGUUGCUAGUGGUAAUGUGUGUCUGGUUGCUUGCAAGCAUAGUCUUUAGUCUGGAGUCUGCAUCUGUUUCUUAUUCCAUGCCAAAUAUGUAAUCAGUCUGCUGUUGUAUGAGCUGGUCCCACAGACAUUGUCAGCUGAGAAAAAAAAUCAAAAAUAAAGAUUGUUUUCUG